rnacentral:misc_RNA from 1 species
AACGCAUAUUGCACUCUCUGGUAUUCCGGGGAGUAUGCCUGUUUGAGGGUCAGUAAAUAAUAAUUAUCAUAAUCUUUUGAUUGUGGAAUUGGGCCUUUAUUUCAUUAAUGAUUUAUGGCCUCAAAUUUACGUUACCGCUUGUUUAAUAUGAAAUUCGACCGAAUGGAGCAAUUAAACAUUCUCUCGUUAGGCGGAUUCAUCAAGCAAUUACGAUUUUUUGGCCGUCGAAGCACUUUUUUUAAAAGUGCUUGGUCAAGAUUGUAAGAUACAUUUAACAAUGACCUCAAAUCAGGCAAGAAUACCCGCUGAACUUAA